GACGAACGCUGGCGGUGUGCUUAACACAUGCAAGUCGAACGGUAAGGCCCUUUCGGGGGUACACGAGUGGCGCACGGGUGAGUAACACGUGAGUAACCUGCCCUCAUCUCUGGGAUAACAGUCGGAAACGGUUGCUAAUACUGGAUAUGAGCUUGCAAGGCAUCUUGUGGGUUGGAUAGAUUUUUUUUGGUUGGGGAUGGACUCGCGGCCUAUCAGCUUGUUGGUGAGGUAGUGGCUCACCAAGGCUUCGACGGGUAGCCGGCCUGAGAGGGCGACCGGCCACAUUGGGACUGAGAUACGGCCCAAACUCCUACGGGAGGCAGCAGUGGGGAAUAUUGCACAAUGGACGGAAGUCUGAUGCAGCAACGCCGCGUGCGGGAUGACGGCCUUCGGGUUGUAAACCGCUUUCAAUUGUGACGAAGCUUUUUUGUGACGGUAGCAGUAGAAGAAGCACCGGCUAACUACGUG
rnacentral:rRNA from 1 species